UACCUGGGGCCAGCAAUGCA
rnacentral:misc_RNA from 1 species